rnacentral:ncRNA from 1 species
UAUAGCCUUGGUCCUAACCUUACUAUUGAUUCUCAGCAAACUUACACAUGCAAGUAUCCACGUCCCAGUGAGAAUGCCCUCUAGGUCCAAUAGACCGAAAGGAGCAGGUAUCAAGCCCACAAAUACACGUAGCUCACAACACCUUGCUCAACCACACCCCCACGGGAAACAGCAGUGAUAAAAAUUAGGUAAUAAACGAAAGUUCGACUUAGUUAUGCUGAACAAGGGUUGGUAAAUUUCGUGCCAGCCACCGCGGUCAUACGAUUAACCCAAAUUAAUACUUAUCGGCGUAAAACGUGUUUAAGGUAGUAAAACAAUAAAGUUAAACCAAAACUAAGCCGUAAAAAGCUACAGUCAGAAUAAAAUAAACAACGAAAGUGACUUUAACCCCCCUGAACACACGAUAGCUAAGGCCCAAACUGGGAUUAGAUACCCCACUAUGCUUAGCCCUAAACAAAAACAUUUGACCAAACCAAAAUGUUCGCCAGAGUACUACUAGCAACAGCCUAAAACUCAAAGGACUUGGCGGUACUUCAUACCCCCCUAGAGGAACCUGUCCUGUAAUCGACAAACCCCGAUAAACCUCACCACCCCUCGCUAAUACAGCCUAUAUACCGCCAUCCCCAGCAAACCUUAGAGAGAACUGCAGUAAGCACAACUAUAGCCCAUAAGUAAGUUAGGUCAAGGUGUAGCCCAUGAGGUGGAAAGAGAUGGGUUACAUUUUCUUAAAAAGAAAACCCACAGAAGCUUCUAUGAAACUGUAGAGGCCAAAGGAGGAUUUAGAAGUAACUUAAGAAUAGAGAGCUUAACUGAACCAGGCCAUGAAGCACGCACACACCGCCCGUCACCCUCCUCAACACGCCUAAGCCCACAAACAUAUUGCUACAUCACCAGCACCCCAAGAGGAGACAAGUCGUAACAAGGUAAGCAUACUGGAAAGUGUGCUUGGAAUAAUC